AACGCGAAGAACCUUACCUACCCUUGACAUCCUAAGAAUCUGUUAGAGAUAACGGAGUGCCGAAAGGAACUUAGAGACAGGUGCUGCAUGGCUGUCGUCAGCUCGUGUUGUGAGAUGUUGGGUUAAGUCCCGUAACGAGCGCAACCCUUAUCCUUAGUUGCCAACAUGUAAUGGUGGGGACUCUAAGGAGACUGCCGGUGAUGAACCGGAGGAAGGUGGGGACGACGUCAAGUCAUCAUGGCCUUUAUGGGUAGGGCUACACACGUGCUACAAUGGGCAGUACAGAGAGUAGCCAACUCGCAAGAGGGAGCCAAUCUCAGAAAGCUGCUCGUAGUCCGGAUUGGAGUCUGCAACUCGACUCCAUGAAGUUGGAAUCGCUAGUAAUCGCGAAUCAGAAUGUCGCGGUGAAUACGUUCCCGGGCCUUGUACACACCGGCUAC
rnacentral:rRNA from 1 species